GCUCAGAUUGAACGCUGGCGGCAGGCCUAACACAUGCAAGUCGAGCGGUAGAGAGAAGCUUGCUUCUCUUGAGAGCGGCGGACGGGUGAGUAAUGCCUAGGAAUCUGCCUAGUGGUGGGGGAUAACGUUCGGAAACGGACGCUAAUACCGCAUACGUCCUACGGGAGAAAGCGGGGGAUCUUCGGACCUCGCGCCAUUAGAUGAGCCUAGGUCGGAUUAGCUAGUUGGUGAGGUAAUGGCUCACCAAGGCGACGAUCCGUAACUGGUCUGAGAGGAUGAUCAGUCACACUGGAACUGAGACACGGUCCAGACUCCUACGGGAGGCAGCAGUGGGGAAUAUUGGACAAUGGGCGAAAGCCUGAUCCAGCCAUGCCGCGUGUGUGAAGAAGGUCUUCGGAUUGUAAAGCACUUUAAGUUGGGAGGAAGGGCAGUAACCUAAUACGUUAUUGUUUUGACGUUACCGACAGAAUAAGCACCGGCUAACUUCGUGCCAGCAGCCGCGGUAAUACGAAGGGUGCAAGCGUUAAUCGGAAUUACUGGGCGUAAAGCGCGCGUAGGUGGUUCAGUAAGUUGGAAGUGAAAUCCCCGGGCUCAACCUGGGAACUGCUUUCAAAACUGCUGAGCUAGAGUACGGUAGAGGGUGGUGGAAUUUCCUGUGUAGCGGUGAAAUGCGUAGAUAUAGGAAGGAACACCAGUGGCGAAGGCGACCACCUGGACUGAUACUGACACUGAGGUGCGAAAGCGUGGGGAGCAAACAGGAUUAGAUACCCUGGUAGUCCACGCCGUAAACGAUGUCAACUAGCCGUUGGGUUCCUUGAGAACUUAGUGGCGCAGCUAACGCAUUAAG
rnacentral:rRNA from 1 species